UGGGGAAUAUUGGGCAAUGGGGGAAACCCUGACCCAGCGACGCCGCGUGGGUGAUGAAGGCCUUCGGGUCGUAAAGCCCUGUCGGGAGGAACGAAUGACUUCGUGGCAAAUAGCCACGAGGUGUGACGGUACCUCCGAAGGAAGCACCGGCCAACUCCGUGCCAGCAGCCGCGGUAAGACGGAGGGUGCAAGCGUUGCUCGGAAUCACUGGGCGUAAAGGGUGCGUAGGCGGCCUUGUAAGUCUAACGUGAAAGCCCAGGGCUCAGCCCUGGAAGGGCGUUGGAAACUGCGAGGCUUGAGUACCGGAGGGGAGAGUGGAAUUCCCGGUGUAGCGGUGAAAUGCGUAGAUAUCGGGAAGAAUACCGGUGGCGAAAGCGACUCUCUGGACGGUUACUGACGCUGAGGCACGAAAGCGUGGGGAGCAAACAGG
rnacentral:rRNA from 1 species